rnacentral:lncRNA from 1 species
AGAUUAAUAAUUAGUCCAAGUAGUUGGUGACAUGCACCAAACACCCCACCACUGAUCCUGAUUCAGCAUCAAUCUUGUUCACAAAUCACCAGCACACAACCUACUUACACUACACCACUGCUGCAGCCCAAAAUUGGCACCACAAUCACCGCUGCAAUCACAACGCCAAAGCCAGCACCACUACCAUCGCAAGAUACGUUGACAACCAACACCACCACUAAAUAUCACCAUGAUGGUUGUGUCAACACCAUCGUUUGAAUCAUCAUGACCACCACAAACACUAAUUGCAUCAUAACUGCCAUCAACAUAGCCAAUUACCACCAUCGAAAAAAAAAGAAAAAAAACUGACCAAGGAUGAACCAUCAUCAUCCCAACACCACUAUUGCCUGUAUUACCUACCACACCAGAACCAACAGCAUCUCCGUACACCUCACACACAUCACACAUAGAUCACCAUUGCAAUCGUAAACUACUGCAACCACCAUAUGCACAUAUCACCACCGCCAUUACCAGCACCACCUCGACCCCCAAUACUAGAUCCAAAACUACCCCAUGCUCAAAUCCGCUACUACAGCGGCAUCAACAAUAAAUAAAUAGCUUGGUAGCAAAUUGAAAGGAAGUGGCGAGUUUGGGUUUUGUACCUUAGGGCUAAAGCUAAGGCUGUUCGUUCUCCCUUAGAUAUGGGCCUUUCAAGAAUCGGACCUUCAGCAAGGAGAUUUGAAGCUGGGAUGGGGCGAUAAAUAGGCAGCAUAGGUUUUGGAAUCAGAUUCUUGUUUAGUAAAUCAAAUUCGGCUCUUUUAAUCAAUAGAACUGGCGCCAACAAAAGAUGUUCUGUCGUUGUUGAUGGAGAGAGAAGAAAGAGAGAAGGGAGGUAGAGAGAGAGAGAGAGAGGGGAAAGUGAUAUGGUUUGGAAGUGAAUAGCAGGG